GGAAGAGGAAAACAGACACGAGGGGAGGAGAAAACGGAAAAAGAAGAAGGGAAGGAGGACGGCUAGGAGAGGGAGCAUCGUGGCUGGGAUCUGUAAGGGGGCACCGAUGCCGUGGUGUGGGAGGUGCGAGUCUCGACAAGCAGCGGAAGAGGUAUGUAGAGUUAUAUUUUUCCACUCGGAUGUAUAGGGUUGGGGAUGUGAGGAAGGGAAAUGGUUGGGUCAAUUCUCUAGAGUUUAAUGAUAUGAAAAUCAUGAUGGUCACAAUGACGUGAUCCAACAUAACGGGGUGGGAAGAUCAGAUUUAAUUCUGAUCGGAUCUAGUACUGGUAGGAUACCUUGAUAGAUGUAGUUAUUGUUAAGUGUAGUUGUUUGGAAUGAUCAGAUUUAUUUCCAGUCAAAUGUAAUUACAGUUAAUUUUAGCCACUUGAAAUAAACAGAUUUAUUUCUGGUUUACUACUGCUAACGGAACAGAUUUGUUACUGUUAAUGGAUCUGAUUUAGAAUAACCGGAUCUAUUCGGAUCAGAUUUAGUUUAUGGUUAAGAAGUAUUAAUAAGUUAGUAGUGUUAAAAUUUAGUUACUGUUAAGAGAGUUUAUUUUAAAUCAGAUUUCUCUCUAAAACAAAUUACGAUGAUGAUGUUAAAAUAUUAAGUUACUGUAAUUGUAUGUCUGUUGCUUUUGCUUUCUAUGAUUAUAUUAUAUGUGAUUAGCAAUUCCAGGGUCUUUCUGAAUUAUAUAUAAGCUACAGUACUAAAGAUAUUUUAGAAUAUGAAUAUCUUAACAUGUUAAAAUGUAAUCUGUUAAUAUUGUUAACAGGAUGGUACAUCUGGAUCCUUUGAAUAUAAAUAAGCUAAUAGUUUGAAUGAUUGCUAUGAUCCUAAUCCGGUUUAGGGCUAUACGUGUUCCUUUUAAACUUGGGGAUUGUCAUGCGGGUAGAAUUAAAUAGAGAAUACUAUAUAAUAUUUUCCGAACGUUUAAUCCGAGGUUUGUUUUCCACUCUAUAUUUCUUUUUUUGUUUCAUAUGUUAAAAUGAUAAUAGGGUUGGGGAAAGAAUUUACAUGAACGGACAUGGGGAUAAGGAUAGGAAUGCAUAUAUGAAUGGGUAAAUGGAUGAAUGAAAGCAUGAAUGACGAAUAACGAAUGACGAAUGACGAAUGACGAGUGAUGACCCAUUAGAGGACAUGAAUGAUAAAUGGUUGAUACUACUAGCCUAAAUGUUUACAUAUGCAUGUGUUAUGUUGACUGAGAUUUUUAGAAAUUGUUGGAGUCUACACUUUACAUACUGAGUGAUGUGGUCACUCACGGAUACAUGACAUGUUGCAGGGAAUGGAGGCAACCUUGCCUAAUUGGAGUGGUAGAAGACAAAGGACUCGUCGGGAUGACGAGGCACGCCGGCGUAGGGUGUGAAGCGAUGUAGUCAUUGUCUUCGUCUUUGGUUGUAAUAAGUACUGUGCUAGUUUUCGAAUACUAAGUGUUUGUAGUAUUCCCUGAUGUGACAUUUUCAUUUGACAGUAAAACUAUUCUUAAUCAUUUUAUGAGAAUUAAGACCCAGUUUGGAAGCAGGGUUUUACACAUAUCUAGAGUGAAGAUUCCAAACCUUACUGUACAAGAUGCAAAAAACAAAACCACACUUUGGAAACAUGUUUCUAUGAACAUGGUUUUUCAUCAGGACAUGGGCUCCAUGGAGUAGACUUCAACAAAAAGAAAGAAAACACAAAAUUUGUUGGAAAGAAAAGCUACAAUGGAAAACCCAACAAAGGGUACAAAGGGAAAUACCAAAGCAACAAUGCUAGCACACAACCAGAAGAAGAUGGACAAACUUCAAAUGAAGAUAAAACUGAAAACAAAUACAUCACUAAAUUCACACAAUACCAUACACUAAAUCUUCAAAUGAUCAAUGGAUCAUUGACACAGGGGCAACAGAUCAUAUGUGUUCCCCCAACACACCACUAAACAACAUUAAAAUACUAAUAUACCCAAUCAACAUCCACCUUCCAAACUCCCAAACCACAAGAGUCUCAUCAAGUGGCUCUAUAACCAUAUCAAAAGACAUCACACUACACAAUGUUUUAAAAAUACCAACCUUCUCUGUCAACCUAUUAUCUGUGAGUCAAUUAACUAAAGACAUGAAUUGUUCAUUUAUCUUCCACCCUACUUUCUGUUCCAUACAGGAUCAGCAGGGAAACCAAAUUGGUGGUGGUGAGAAGAAAGGAGGACUGUAUAUCCUAAGACUAAAAUCCCAAGCCAACUAUAGUCAACAAAAAGAGUCAAAGGAUGGAGAAAUCUGGCACCAGAGACUAGGGCACCCUGCUUCUUUUAGAUUCUAUCAUCUGAAUUUAUUAGAAAAAUGUAUCCCUAAGUCUUUUUCUAAAUUCUGCAAAACUUGUCCUCUGUCCAAACAGACAAGACUACCUUUUAAUUCAAGUACAAAUAAAACAACAAAAUGCUUUCAAUUAAUUCAUUUAGACAUCUGGGGAAAGCAUAACACACCCACACAUCAAGGAAAUAACUAUUUCCUAACAAUAGUGGAUGACUAUUCUAGAGCUACUUGGGCAUUUCUAAUGACAAACAAAGCUGAAACAUUGAGAAAAUUCAAACAAUUUGUGACAGAUAUACAAAACCAACACCAAGCCAACAUCCAGACUAUAAGGACAGACAAUGGAACAUAAUUCCUAUCUAAAGAAUUCCAAAAUAUCCUAAAAACAAAUGGGAUAGCACACUAACUCUCAUGUCCUUACACUCCCCAAUAGAAUGGGAGAGUAGAAAGAAAACACCCACACAUAUUACAAGUGGCUAGGUCACUUAUGAUCCAAUCCAACAUUCCCCUAAAAUAUUGGGGGGAAUGCAUCCUAACAGCUGUCUUUUUAAUAAAUAGAACUCCAGCUGUUGUCCUAGACAAUGACAUCCCAUAUCACAGGCUAUUUAAUGAACAACCAAACCUCUCCAUCCUAAGAGUAUUUGGAUGCCUUUGUUAUGCCACAAACAACAAAACCAAAUCAAAAUUUGAAAGCAGAGCCAUCAAAGGAAUCUUCCUUGGAUACUCUUUUCAAAGGAAGGGUUACAAAAUACUAAACCCAGUGACUCAAGAAAUCUUUACAAAUAGAGAUGUCACUUUCUUUGAAGAAAUCUUCCCUUUCAAGGAAGAACCACAACGACAAAUAAAGGACCCUUCAAUGACGAAGAAACAAACACAAUAAACACCCCUUCAAAUGACCAGUAUGAGUCAGAAGAAGAAGAGGAACCAUCUCAAAUCCCUCCUUCAAUGGAACCCACUGAACAAUAUGAAUCAGAGGAAGAAGAAGAGGCAACCCAAACUGAGGAAACCAAGACCAACAAAACCUCAAAAAGAAUCAGAAAAACACCUUCCUAUUUAAAGGACUACAAAUUACAACUAGCAUCAUCCAGACACCCAAUAGAAAGGCUGAUAUUUUGUAAAAAAUUUAACCCAGAGCACUAUGCUCUGCUAUCAGUAAUAAAGAAAAACAUUGACCCAAACUCUUACAAGGAAGUAUCCAAACAUGAAAAAUGAAACAAUGCCAUGGAACAAGAGCUUGAAGCUCUUGAAAACAACAAAACUUGGACAAUCACUAUAAUCCCUGAAGGAAAGAAACCAAUUGGGUGUAAAUGGGUUUACAAGACCAAGUUCAACAGUGAUGGAACUGUUAAAAAAUACAAAGCAAGACUAGUGGCCAAGGGAUACAACCAGGUUGAGGGUAUAGAUUUCAUAGAAACCUUUGCCCCUGUCUCCGAGAUGACAACACUAAGAGUCAUCUUGGCAAUAGGAGUGUCCAAAAAAUGGCAUAUGCAUCAAAUGGAUGUACAAAAUGCAUUUUUACAUGGAACUCUAGAGGAAACAAUAUAUAUAUGAAAAUCCCUUUGGGAUUAAAAAUACCAAAGGAUUCACCCCCUAAUUCUGUUUGCAAACUGAAUAGGUCACUAUAUGGCUUGAAACAAGCAUCUAUAGUAUGGUACCAAACCUUAUCAAAGGCUUUAUCCAAUUUUGAAUACAAGCAAUGCAAAACAGAUUAAUUAUUCACUAUUCAUAAACACUGACAAGGAAGAUACCACAAUAGUACUAGCUUAUGUUGAUGACCUAUUAAUAACAGGAAGCAACAUAAAUAAAAUCAACAACUUGAAGGAAGAUUUAAAAAAAAUCUUCAAAAUAAAAGACCUUGGAGAACUCAAAUACUUCUUAGGACUUGAGUUCACUAAAACACCAAAGGGCUUAUACAUUGGACAAAGAAAAUAUAUCUUAGAUCUAUUAGAAAAAUAUGAUCUAACCCAAUGUAAACCAAACAACUCACCUAAUAGUCAAAAACAAAUAUUUGACUAUAAAACAAAGAGACAAAAUAAUCAUACACAAAACCAAAUAAGUAAAACACCAAUGCAAUAAACAAAACAGAGGGAAGUGAAAUCCCACUCAAGGACCCACAAAAAUAUAGAAGUAUAAUUGGUAAGUUGGUAUAUUUAACAUGCGCAAGACCAGAUAUAUCCUAUGCAGUAACUUACCUAAGUCAGCACAUGGCUAACCCCACUGAGACACAUAUGAAGGCAGCAUAUAGAGUAUUAAAAUACAUUAAAGGAGCACCUGGAUUAGGAUUGCACUUCACGGGUGGCUCCUCAAUGGACCAUAUCUCAGCCUUCUCUGAUUCAAAUUGGGCAAGUUGUCCGAUAACCAGACGACCAACCUCGGGAUUUGCCAUAUUCUUAGGCACUUCCUUAAUAUCUUGGAAAUCAAAAAAACAACAAACCAUUUCAAGAUCAUCGGCAGAGGCCGAGUAUAGAGCAUUGGCUUACGCUACACGUGAGAUUACUUGGUUAGCAAUGCUGCUACAAGAAAUAAGAACAUACCAAAUUAGAAAAUCGAUUGCUCCUAGAAUAUUCACUGACAGCACAACAGCAGAGGCAAUGGCGAGAAACCCGUGCGAGACAAGGUUUUAGCGGGAGAUGUCAUACUGAGACACGUCCCUAGUGCACAAAACAUAGGUGAUUUUUUCACCAAACCCCUUGGAGGUCCAGCAUUUAAGAAUCUAAUCCAAAAACUAAAUCUCAUUGAUAUACAUGUUCAAAAUUCAAACUCAAUUAAUUCAUAUAAGGACCCCAAUGCACCUAUAUAUUCAAAUCAGGCCCUAACCGGUUUUGAUUUGAGGGAGGAUAUUAAAGAUAUACCCCUCAAUUAAAAUAAUAUAACAAGUAUAGUAUUAUAGUAAACAUUACAUAGGACCCCUCAUACUUAUUCACAACUCUUCACAUUCUAAAUACAUCUAUUAAUCACACAUAUAUAUAAAUCUUUAUUAAUAAGUCAACAUAUAAUCAAUAUUAAUUACCCAUGAUUCAUUUCCAUUCAUUGCAUUCCAUCAAUACACCUCAACCAACAUAGCUGUUGGGUGUUAUAAUCAUCUAUACAUAUCAACCUAAACCUCAUUAGUUCUUCACGUUCGUACAUCCUUAAUCUCAAACUCACACACACACACACACACACAGUUUGAUUACUCAAACUGAUCACUGCAACUCAAAUCGUUUCCGCAAUUCUCCAAAAGCUCAACCAACAAUUCAAGUUGUGGAUCUUGGCUUCAUCAAUCCUUGAUCAAUCUUGAUCCUACAAUAUCAUUUCAUAUAUAUAUUGCAUUCAUAUCAUCAUACAUUCAUUCAUCAUCAAAACAUUUCAUAUAUUUCUAUAUAUCAAAGUAUAUAAUCUGUCAUUCUCAAGUUCUUAAUACGUGUAACAGUUACUUCCGAAGACUUUAAAAUAAGAGAUCUUUAGUUUCGUGGAAUUCCAAAGUUUGUAUGGAGUCUUUGGUAAUAUAGGUCUUAUCAGGACUCUAUUUAAUCCAUAGCAGGCUGUAUUUAUAGCUUCUGCCUAGAAGGCAUGAGAAAUUGAGCAUGGUUCUUGUCAUUUCUAAUUGGAGUGUACGAUUUUUUUUCUUUCCACUAUACCAUUUUGUAGAGGGGAUUGUGGAAAUGAAAACUCAUAUUCUAUUUCAUGGGUUUUACAUAAUGUUUCAAAUUCUGAAUUUUCAAAUUCACCACUGUUUUACAUAAUGGCCCAACCUCAACUGACCUAGUCUAGUCUCGUGGAUCUCACGACAUUUCUUUGACUAUAGGUAAUGUCCAAAUCUUCUGUAAUCUUUUGGAUACAACACAUACGAACCACAAAUCUGAUUAAGAUUUAAACAUUAGAGUAUUAUCAGGAAACUCUUAAAAACCUCUUAAGUUUUUUCAGAUAGACUCUCGUACCUAAGAGUUUUAUAGGAUGGUUUGAACUAACCCAUAUAGGAAUAGGUAUUUCUGGAUUCUCAUAUAAGGUUAUUGGUGAUACAGUAUCCCGAACACGGUCACAACCUACCAGCAACUAGAAGUCCGGAUAGCCUAAGAUGAGUUGAGGUAUCUAUUCUAGGGUUGGGGAGGUCCCAGGUCGAAUCUUAGGAAGAUCGACUUUCCUGAGGAUCGACUUCCCUGGGAUCGACUUUUGAGUAAAGUCGAUCACCAGGAAAAGUCGAUCUCUGGAAAGUCGACCCCUGGACCCAAUCUGACCAGUUGGGCAGUUAGGCGGUUACUGCCCAAAUGACCAUAUUGCCCCCAUAAGAACCCCUAUAAAUAGAGGGCACCCCCCACUCAUUAAAGGCAGGUCAUUUGGAGCGAAAGGAUUCCUAGCGAAGCAGAGCUCUGCACACUUGAGUUCCGGUCCGGUUUCCCGCGGAGUUCCCCGCUUGGCGCUUGCUUGCGCGUCUUGGAGUACUGGUCGGGUUUCACCCCCAUCAGUUGGCGCCGCUUGUGACUCAAAGAUACUCACGACAAAAGCUCCUCGACUUUUUCAAAAAAAGUGAUCGACUUUUUUCCAAGUCGCCAGCUAGGGAGUCUUGUGAGGAAAUCAGCUAGCAAGGGAUCGACAUUUCAGAAGAUCGACUUUUUCUUCCAAGGAAAAAGUCGACCCCUCAAGGAGCUAGGCUUUCAGACAUCGACUUCCAAGGAAUCUUCCAAGUGCACUAGGGAUCGACUUUUCUCUCCAAGCAAAAGUCGAACACUCCUUCCAGGAAAAGUCGAACACUCCUUCCAGGAAAAGUCGAACACUCCAGGAUGGUGGUAACUAGAAGCACUUCCCAAGGAGGAGGAGCAAAUUCUCAGGAGGCGCCAGAGCAACAGCCUGGCAACUCAAAAACUAAAAGGCCAGUGGGUCGACCACCCAAGGCCAAUAAAAACAAGAGGACUCCCACGGGACCUGAGGCUGACACCGAAGGCGAACCCGAGCAAACCCCCCAAGCUUCAGCAGGAGGGGAAAAUCUGAACAUCACAGUUCAGGCAAUAGCAGAGGCCAUCCGACUCAUUGCUGAAAAGGAGAAACCUUCAGGAGAACAACCUCAGAAGGGGGGACCCACAAGCAGCAAGGAACCAAGGGCUGCUGCAUCAGAAUCCACUCAUGGGUUCCUAAAAAUGCCCAUAGAAGAGCUGGAAAAAAUGAAGGAAACCAUAGCGAAAAUGAGCGAGAAGAUAAAGGAUAUUGAAAAGUCUAAGACGUCAAUAUACCACUCAAAAGCUCAAACCUCAAAGCAGGCCAAGGCGCAGCAGGAGGUGUCAAGUCAUAGGGCAGCACACUCAAGUGCGCCACUAUCUCACAAACCAGAGGGGCAACCCAAACCUCUUUUCAGAAAACCCGUACAGGAAGAAAGUACGGGAGACACAGAAGGAGGAGGCGAGGUCCCAAACUGGCUGGUAGGCAUGGAUGCCCUGCACAAAUCGCUGAUGGUAAAACCAGCACCUCUGAAAUUCAGGCUACCCAGGCUGCAGAUCUAUGAUGGGAUGAUGGACCCAGCGGACCAUAUAAACAUGUUCGUAGGGGCAAUGCAGUGGGCUACAUCAAGGGAUGACAUUCUCUGUAGAGCAUUCCCAGGAACAUUAAAAGGACCCACAUACAGAUGGUUCGUCGAAUUGCAGCCAGGGAGCAUAACAAAUUUCGAUGACUUAAAAAAGAAGUUCGUCGCCCAACAUUGUGGAAACACAAGGGUCAGAAAGGGCACGGAAUCGCUGUUCGCAAUCAAGCAGAAUGGAGACACGCUUCGGAAUUAUACAACUAAAUUCACGGAAGCCAUGCAGAAAAUCUUCGAUCUGAACACAACAAUCGCAAUAUGCGCAUACUCAAAAGGGCUAGACAUGAACACGCCAUUAGCAAUAAAGCUAAACGUCAGUAAUGUAAAAUGCAUGGAGGACCUGCUAACAAAGGCCCAGAAAUACAUAAAUUCUGAAGAGUAUGAGAAAGAAAAAGUAAAAGAGAGAGGUGCCAUAAGCAAUAAAAAAGCAUAUGAAGCACCAAAGAAAAAAUUCCAGAAGUUUGAAAAAGGAGAAUCGUCCUGGAGACCAAAACACGACGGAAAGGUCUACCACACAUCUGAGGAGUUCGGGAAAUCAAGAUAUCCAAAGUACAAAGACUUGGGAUUUACGGUUUUCACUACUCCAAAAGAGGAAAUCUAUAAUAAAGAAAAAGGAAGAAUUAGGUUUCCUCAACCAGAAGAGUUGAACCCUGCAACAAAAGAGGCUCGAACAAGGAGGAACAGGUAUUGCAAGUUCCACAAGGAUUACGGGCACAACACGGAGAACUGCAGGGAGCUGAGCACCUUCCUAGAUACACAAAUAAAGGAAGGAAAGCUAAGGCAAUAUAUAAAUAAAAUAGAAAGGGGGCGACAAGGCUGCAAGGACCCAAAGAACAAGGGUAAGCGCCAACGCUCAAGGAGUCCAGAUUCAGACACUGACCACAAAAGAAGGGUAAUUAAUUUAAUCUUCGGUGGAGGAUCGGUAGGAGAAAGCAGAAGUUACUCGUGCAAAGUAAUGCAGACAACAACGGUACCAAAAUCUAAAAAAAGAUCGUACCCAAGCGAGGAAAUAAGCUUCUCUGAGGAAGAUCUGGACAACGUGGUCAGCCCACAUGAGGAUCCACUAGUGAUACAAGUGGAUAUAGGGGAUGACUUAAGUCUGAACAAAGUAAUGGUGGACAACGGCAGCUCAGUGGAUAUAUUAUACCUAGUUGCGUUCGAAAAAAUGGGCUACAAAGUGGAUCAGCUAACCCCGGCCAAGGAAGCCAUCUAUGGAUUUACAAACACAAAGGCCCCAGUAGUAGGAGCCAUCAAUCUACAGAUAUCCCUGGGAAAAAGAAACGGGAGAGUAUCACGCACAGCACACUUCAUGGUGGUCAACAUAGACUCUCCGUUCAAUGGGAUAUUGGGCAGACCAAGCAUUCACGGUUUCAAAGCGAUACCAUCAUCCUACCAUCAAUGCUUCAGGUACCCAGGAAAAGAUGGCAAAAUGGCAACAGUUUUUGGAGCACAGAAAGACUUCAGAAAUUCGUACAGGAAGACAACUAAAAUAGCCAAACCUAUAACCCUGUACAUCCAAGAAAGAGAGGAGGAAGAAGACACAACCUUAUCUAAUCAAGUUGAGGAGGUCAAACUCUCAAAANNNNNNNNNNNNNNNNNNNNNNNNNNNNNNNNNNNNNNNNNNNNNNNNNNNNNNNNNNNNNNNNNNNNNNNNNNNNNNNNNNNNNNNNNNNNNNNNNNNNUAAAAAAAUCACUACUGCAGCUAUUAGAAACCCAUGUGCACACGUUCGUAUGGGAAGGGGAGGCACCCUCACAGGUACAGCGUACUAUAACGUGCCAUGAGCUCAACAUAGACAGUAGCUUUACUCCUAUACGGCAGAAGCGAAGAAUACUCGCAGCUGAAAGAAAGGAUGCAGCGCAGGCUGAAAUAGAAAAGUUAAUCAAAGCUGGGCACAUUCGGGAAGUCAAAUAUCUGAAGUGGUUAGCAAACCCAGUUAUGGUCAAAAAAUCUAAUGGGAAGUGGAGGAUGUGUGUAGACUUCACAGAUCUCAACAAAGCAUGUCCAAAAGACAGCUACCCACUCCCAUCUAUCGACAGAUUAGUGGAUGCAGCAUCAGGAAAUGAGUUAUUAUCNNNNNNNNNNNNNNNNNNNNNNNNNNNNNNNNNNNNNNNNNNNNNNNNNNNNNNNNNNNNNNNNNNNNNNNNNNNNNNNNNNNNNNNNNNNNNNNNNNNNUGGAUGCACAUUCAGGGUACAACCAGAUCUUAAUGAAAGAAGAUGAUGAAGAGGCCACAUCAUUCAUCACAGAAUGGGGGACAUAUUGCUACAAAGUCAUGCCUUUCGGCUUACGAAAUGCAGGAGCAACCUUCCAAAGGCUGAUAGACAAGGUUUUCAAAAAGCAGGAAGGAAGAAAUGUCUUGGCAUAUGUAGAUGACAUUCUGGUAAAAUCCAAAAAAGCAGAUAAACACCCAAAUGAUCUGAAAGAAACCCUAGAAACUCUGCAGAAUUAUGGGAUGAGGUUAAACCCUGCCAAAUGCAGUUUCGGAGUACAAGAAGGAAAAUUUCUUGGAUUCUAUGUAGGGCAGAAAGGGAUAAAGCCAAAUCCAGAUAAAAUAGCAGCGAUACUAGAAACAACACCACCUCGAACAAUAAAGGAGGUACAAAAGCUGAACGGAAAAAUCAAUGCCUUAAGUCGGUUCAUUUCCAAAACAGCAGACAAGUGCAAACCCUUUUUCCAACUGCUAAAAACUAGUCAAAAAGGGACAAUAACAUGGACUACAGAGUGUGACGAGGCAUUUCAACAACUCAAAACACAUCUGACUUCUCUACCACACCUAACUUCGCCAAAGAUAGGGGAGGAAUUGUAAAUCUACGUAGCAGCUUCAGAAGAGGCUAUCAGUGCAGUUCUAAUAUGUCAAAGGGAGAGUGAACAGAUCCCGAUAUAUUAUCACUCAAAAAGGCCUUAAGGGGUAGAAACAAGAUAUCCUCCAGUGGAAAAAAUAGUCCUGGCAGUAGUACAUGCAGCACGCAGAUUCAGAGUAUACUUUCUGGCUCAUACAAUUAAAGUCUUAACAGAACAUCCACUGCGCAGAAUCCUCCACAGGCCAGAUACUUCCGGAAGAUUAACGAAGUGGGCACUAGAGUUAAGCGAGUUCGAUGUAGAUUUUGUUCCUGCCACAGCCAUUAAAGGGCAAGCAGUUGCAGACUUUAUUGUAGACAUGACCCAGGAAAGCAAAGAAAAACCUUGGAUAGUAGAGGUUGAUGGCUCAAGUUGCAGUACAGGUGCAGGAGUGGGAAUAAAGAUAAUCACUCCAGACCAAAGAAUAUAUGAACAUUCUAUCAGAUUACAGUUCUCAGCUACGAAUAAUAUAGCAGAAUACGAAGCUGUAAUCCAAGGAAUGAGAAUUCUCAGAAGGUUGGGGGCCUGUUCAGUAAUCAUUAGAACAGAUUCUCAACUAGUGGCUCGGCAAUUCACAGGAGAGUUCACUGUUAAAGAACCUCUAAUUGUACAGUACGCAGCCACACUGGAAAAAAUCAAAGAACAAUUUACUAAGGUUGAAGUAGAACAGAUACCAAGGAGUCAAAAUAACUCAGCUGAUGCCCUGGCAAAGCUAGCUUCUGCUUUCGAGGGGGGGCAGAGAGAGAUACUAGUUGACUCAGCAUCUACACCUUCAUGUAACUUAGUCACGAUCCAGGCAGAAGACUGGAGGAAACCCUUGAUAGAAUACUUCGAGGGACAGAAACUUCCUGAAAACAAGAAUGAAAGACGCAAGUUGCAAACACGCGUUUCAAGAUUCUGCCUGAUUGGUGAUAUUCUGUAUAAGAAAUCCUACGACGGACCUCUAAUGAAAUGUGUCUCAACAGAAGAAGGACAAUUCAUUGUAGAGGAGAUUCAUCAAGGAGUAUGCGGAAUACAUCAGGGGGGAAGAUCUUUGGCCCAAAGAAUAAUAAGGCAAGGAUAUUUCUGGCCCACACUGAAAAAAGAUGCAGUCCUAUUUGCAAGAAAAUGCAAGGCCUGUCAAAUACACAAAAACAUACAGAGAAAUCCCGCAACUCAACUAACAGGGGUAGAAAGCCCCAUCCCCUUUGCAAUGUGGGGAUUAGAUAUUGUGGGACCAUUUCCAGUAUCGACAGGCCAGGCUAAAUUUAUAUUUGUGGCUGUCGAUUACUUUACUAAAUGGGUCGAGGCACUAGCUGUACCCAAGAUAACUCAAGGAGCAGCAACGAAAUUUGUCUUCAAGUGCAUAAUGUGCAGAUUCGGUGUUCCAAUGCAUAUAGUGACAGAUAACGAUACACAGUUUACCGGUGGGGAGUUUACGAGAUUGUGCGAGAACAUGGGCACUAGAAUCCAUUUUUCAUCGGUAUACAGACCACAGGGUAAUGGGCAAGUAGAAGUCACAAACAGGGCCAUCGUUCAGGGACUGAAGAAAAAAGUCGAACAGGCCAAAGGUUCGUGGGCAGAUCUACUACCAGAGAUCCUGUGGGCGUAUAGAACCACUGAAAAGACACCCACCGGAGAAACCCCGUUCUCACUAGCAUAUGGAAUGGAAGCACUAAUCCCAACAGAGCUAAGCAUUCCAACAGUCAGAGUGUUAUCCUAUGACAUGGAAGAAAACAUGAGAUCAUGUGCGAUAACUCUGGACUUAGUGGAUGAGCUUAGGGAUAAUGCACAAGCAAAGAAUGCAGUUUACAAACAAAGUAUCGCUAGACAUCACGACAAGAAUGUCAAGGGUAAAGCGAUAAGAAAAGGGAGCCUAGUAUGGAGAAGAGCGAGUGUCGGCAGAAAAGACUGCUCUAAAGGCAAACUAGGCGCAAAUUGGGAAGGACCAUAUGUGGUGGAGGAAGAACUCCGACCAGGCACGUACAAGUUAAAGCGGGAAGAUGGAACAGGCAUCCCUAAUACUUGACACGCAGAUAACCUACAGUUGUACUUUUAAACAAUUAAGUAGGAUUAUAUUACUCUUAUAAUAGUUUGAACUACGUAACUAGUAUGUUAUUUAGUUAGCUAUCAGAACAUUUGAAAAUACAUUCCAUAUAUUGAUUUAAAAAGAAUUACAGAGGAAUGUAAAUUACAAAGGAUAAGAUAGAGGAUUAAUCUAUUUAGAAGGGGGGGGUGUAUCUUUAGAACCCUCUGCAUCGUUGUUGUCUUGAUCUUCUACGGAGAAAUCUUUAUCAACGGCAGCAGUCGUAUCAUCCCCCAGAGCUUCUUCUUCUUCAUCUUCUUCUUCCGCAAGCGUCCGAUUUCGAACUUCGGUAGCUUCUUUGGGCUACUUGCGGGCCCAGUUGUGGACAUCCUCAGCUUCAAAACCCGGACAGACAUGAGGACCCAGGUCGACCAAGUCAUUAUAAUCUCGCACAUUGGCAAGAUAAUCGACCUUAAGUUUUUCCAGAUGGUCGAUCAUGCGUUGAAGCUCCUCAGUGGCAUGUCGAGCUUCCUCGGUCAGACGUUGGAUCUCCUCAGUCUUUGCCCGGUCCAUUUCUUCCAGUCGCGUUAUUGAUUUCUGAUUAUCAUCCAGCGACUUCAACAGCUUCUUGUUCUCUUCAGAACUUUCAUCCAGUCGGUCGGAAAAUAUGGAGUUCUGUGUCCGACAGGAGUCAAGGUUCGCCUCAACAUUUUCGCGCUGGCGGUCGAGAUCGACAAUCAUCGAAUCUUUAAUCGAGACCUUGGCACGUUCAGCUGCUAGCUCCAGCUCUGCAGCCCCCAACUGCCCGUUGAUCUUAGAGAUCUCCUGCUCCUUAUCUCUCAAGAGAUUCCUUUGAGCAGCCCAAUCCGCAGCCAACUUCUUGUUAGUGGCAGACAAAGUAGAGGCGUCUGAAACCUUUUGUGUAACCUCGCCUUCCAGAUCUUUACAUCGGCGCUUUACUCUCUUCAACUCGUCUUCCAUAGACUGAUAGUCACGAAGACGAGACAGGGAAGAGAGGCGGCCCUGAAACAAGUAGGUGAGCUGCAAAAAGAGAAAGAAUGGGUAAGGACAUGCUCAUAGAAAUAAUCAAAACAAAAGCACUCACGUUGCUCAGGUUCUGGCCUAUUUCCUCAACAGUCCGAUCCAUCGGAUACCCAGAAAUGGUCCGCAGUGUAGUCCGGGCGGUAUCCGUGUCACUUAGACCCGUAGUUCCGGGGGUGCGAACCUUGGUAUCCCGGCAGUUGUGUCUCCCGGGUGGAAGAGUAAUUGUAGCGGCCCCGGGAGGACUCCCCAGCAUAAUAAGUCCGGCGAGGAGGAGUUCGUCGCCUCGGGGAGUGUCUCCUCUUCCUGGGAGGAGAUGAGUUGGUCCUGGGGGGAGGAGUUCGUUCUUUUCUUCUUCACCUCUCAGAGAUCUCUUUCUCUGUGGCUUUCUCAGUCCGCUCAGAUUGAGCCUCUUUCUCUGUGGUUUUCUCUGCUGUUUUCCCUCGCUCCUCUUCUGACAGAGUAGGGAAGAAGUCGGAGAGCCUGGAAGCAGCAGGAGACUGCACAGGAGCAGUUUCUGUAGGUACCACCGGAGGUACCUCCCCUUCCUCAGUUCGUGGGACUUCAUCAGGAGUAGGGGAUUGGGCCACAGCAUAAGCAUUCUCAAGGGCACGUUGCCUCAAAUAUCAGUGUCGGAAGGCUUGGAGGCAGCUGCAUAAACCUUGGAGCCUGUUUCAUUUUGCCCAACGCGUUCAGGGAUACCUCCGGGGUUAUGCAUGUAAAAAUCUGCAAGGAAUAAAAACAGAGUUAGAAAAUGCAUACAUAUAUAAACAUAAAAUAAAAAAACACAGGCAAAGGAAGACCUUGUCGGUUAAAAGUAUCAUCAAUCGCGUGACCGACAGGCACAGCGAUAGGAUGCAAAUAGGCCAGCCUGUGCACAGAAGCUUCCUCAUCCUCAGUCAGAUCAGGACGAGGAAUGGGCUUGCGACCACUAGUAGAUGCAGGGAGAAGUCUGCUACCAGGGCAUAACCUGCAAUCCACAAAGAUGAACUCAGGAUCUUUCAAGAGGGCAGAGUGAGUAAUGGAUGUAGCACGGCUGGCACAUGCAAUGAAAGGGCUGCCCUUCUUCGGAUUUUGGAAUGUGAAGAAGUGGAAGAACAGCCGAGCAGUAAGGACUAUGCCAGCAUCCCGGAGGAUAUUUAUGAAUCCCCUGACAUAGAAAAAGAAGGCAGCACCCAUUUGAGAGAUGCACAACCCAGAAUACAAAAGGAUUUCACUAACCAAGGAAGGGAUCGGGAGGAUCGGAAAGUUAGUGAAAUAGAUUCGGUGAAGUGCCAACAUAAAAUAGGGGGCACAUCACCAGUAUUCUCAGAGGGGUACGCCCAGUGCACUCUCUCUCUAAGCUCUAACCCCCUCAAAAUUCUUUGGGCGACAUCCAAGGAAAGGGUGUUAGAGCAGCUACCCGCAUUGGAGGAAAGGGGGUAGCCCGGAAUAUCAGUCAGAGAGACUGCACAGAAGGAACCAUAUCCAAUCCCGUACUCGCCCCGGUCAAGGAUAGGGACAACGUGGAAACCGUUGCGAACGAGAACGGACCACUGACGCCAAGAACCAUCCAUCUCCCGAUAGAAGGAUGGGGCGCUCUUCUCCUCAAGGGGAGAAGGAAAGGGUACUUGUCCCUCGUCUCAGGGAGGUAGCCCAAUGGGGAACUCUCGAGAACAUGAAUGUUCUGACUACAGACUUCGGGAGGAAGUUGAAUAGAACUGUCUGUAGUCACGGAUAAAACCCCCGAAGUAGGAGUCUCCUCAGGAAUGGAAGGCAAAAUAAUGGUAGGAGGAGGAGUCCUAACAACGGAGGGGGGGUUCCUCCAAUUUCUACAUCCUCCGAGGAAGAAGAGCUAUAGGAGGAAGAACCCGAGCUUCCCGAGCUAGAUGUGGAAGACCCCGAACUGGAACGUACGGGGGAAGAGUGGGGAGCACCUACAAACAAAAAGAAACAAAUAAAGAGUAAGUUACGAAAUAGAUAACAAAUAAGUAACUUACUAGGUACGGGCUUGCGCGUACGACGGGAAAGAGUUUUCCGCUUACUUCUAGCAGUUAAGGAGGAAGGCGAAGCUCUAGGCUCCGUUACGGCAGGAGCAGCUUGAACAGACUCCGGUUCAGCAGGAACAUCCUGAACCUCGAUGUUGUCUGGUGCGACAACUUGAGAAGUCUGAGGGCUAGCAUCAACAGCCCGGUCCUCAUCAAGAGGAAGGUCUUGCUGCAAGUUCUUGUCAGAAGACAUUAUAAACCUGCACGAAGAACAGAACAGUCAGGCCAAGCUAUGGCAAAAGUCGAUCCCAAGAAAAGUCGAUCUGGACUUCAGGGAAUCGAACGUGCAAUAUAAGGGAAGUCGAUCUCAGAAGUCGAUCCCAGAAAAGUCGACUGUCAGGAGACAAGGGUCUCGAGAAGUCGAUCCCAGUAAAAAUGGACCCAACUUUGAAAAGUCGAUGACAAGGCGUCAAACCUCACAAAGUUGGAUCACAGUCCAAUGGGGAACAACUUCAAAAGGGACCGACUUUCAGAAAAGUCGGACUCCAAGGAAGUCGAACCCAGUGCAACCUCAGAAGAGCCCGACAACAAAAGUCGGACCCCUGAAACUUGCACCCCCAAGGCUCAAGUCGAAGCCUCACGCACGCUGGAAGUCGAAGCGGAGAAGCUGGAAGUCGAAGCGGAGGACUGGAAGUCGAUGCGGAGGAAGUCGAUGCGCAGAAAGUCGAUCAGUCGGAGCAAAGGAAACAAGUGGGAAGAAAGUGAACCCCCCUCCGCUAUUUAUAGGGGAAAGUCGAAGACGAACCGUCGCGAGCACUGUUCAUCCGGGUCGACCCGUUGGGCCGGGAAGCCCACGGGCCCGGGCAGGCCCACGACGGCCCAGUCCGCGAAAAACCCCAAAAUCCAACUAGAUGGCAUCGACAUUCCAGGAAAAUUCAUCGACAUUUCAGAAAAAUAAUCGACAUUCCACAGAAAAUUAAGUUCGACAUUCCCAAAAAAGGGGGAUAGACGUCGACAUUUGGCAAGGAAUUCGAUACCUUCAAAAGAGAAGGACAGGAUCGACAUUCCGCAGGAAAUGGAGUUCGACAUUCCCAAAAAGGGGGAUAGACAUCGACAUUUGGCAAGGAAUUCGACGCCUUCAAAAGAGAAGGAUAGGAUCGACAUUCCGCAGGAAAUGGAGUUCGACAUUCCUAAAAAAAAAAGGGAUAGACGUCGACAUUUGGCAAGGAAUUCGAUGCCUUCAGAAGAGAAGGACAGGAUCGACAUUCCGCAGAAAAUUGAAUUCGACAUUCCCAAAAAAGGGGAUAGACGUCGACAUUUGGCAAGGAAUUCGAUGCCUUCAAAAGAGAAGGACAGGAUCGACAUUCCGCAGGAAAUGGAGUUCGACAUUCCCAAAAAAGGGGGAUAGACGUCGACAUUUGGCAAGAAAGUCGAUGCCUUCAAAAGAGAAGGACAAGAUCGACAUUCCGCACUACUCUGAUCGACAUCCUCAGGAAAAGAUGAGAUCGACUUUUUGGGCAACUUCGACAUUUCCAGAGAGAAAUGAGAUCGACUUGUCAAAAAUUCGACAUCUUCAGAAAAGGAUCAGAAGUCAUCGACAUCCUCAGAAAAAGGUGAGAUCGACAUUUUUUUGGGCAACAUCGACAUUUCCAGGGAGAAAUGAGAUCGACUUGUCAAAAAUCAGACACCUUUAGAAAAGGAUUAGCAGUCAUCGACAUCCUCAGAAAAAGAUGAGAUCGACAUUUUUCGGGCAACAUCGACAUUUCCAGGGAGAAAUGAGAUCGACUUGUUGUCAAAAAUCCGACAUCUUCAGAAAAGGAUCGGCUGACACAUCGACAUCCUCAGAAAAAGAUGAGAUCGACUUUUGGAACAACGUCGACGUUUCCAGGGAGAAAUAAGAUCGACUCGUUGUCAAAAAUCCGACAUCUUCAGAAAAGGACAAAAGAAUAUGGUAUUGACCAAAAGAAAGCAUCGGUUACACUAACGUACUUCAAAGUAAAGGUGUAAGUCGAGUAAAGGAAAAGGUAAAAGUAUAUUUAUUCAAAGUCACAAAAAUGAUGAAUGAAAAAUAUUACAGGUUCCUAAUUAAAAUUGAUACGGCGACGUAAACGGCGAGGGACCUGAUCCAGCGGGGAAGCACCGCGACGGGGACGCCUCCGACGUCGGCCACGAGGAAGGACAACAGAAGAAGAGGCGGGCGGAAGAUCGCCACCAGACCAUUCUUCAAAUAUGGAUUCCCUAGCUGCAACAGCAACACUCUGCCGCUCAACAAUAAGCUGGCGCAGAGAAGGAAGAUCCAAGGUUGACGACCGAGGAUCCAAAAUAUUCAAAAUUCGAUCCAGCUCCUCAAUCUCUCCCUGAAUAAAAUCAGCAAAGAGACUCACAAGAAGAGCCAUGGAUGGAUGAAGGAAAAGGAUAACCUAGGGGUCCUAUUUAUAGACCCUAGGACAGCACAAAAGGACAAAAAUGACAAAUUCGACUUUUUAUCACAAGGGAUCGACUUUUGACCAAAAGCAUCAGGAAUCGACUUUUUGACAAAAGUCGACCAAACUCAACAAGGGAUCGACAUUUCGCAAAAGUCGACCAAACUCGAUAAGGGAUCGACAUUUAGCAAAAGUCGAGCAGAAUCAACAAGGGAUCGACUUUUUCUUCCCACAUAAAAGGGGUGCAGAAAAAAAGAACCCAGGCAAGUUGGAGUUGCGGAGGCACACCAAAACAGGAGGGUGUAACACGAAAUGCUCCUGAGGAAUCGUGGAAGUCCACAACUCGGACGGCGAUACGGCAGCAAAAUGAGCUGAGCCAUAUAAAGAUAUUUGAACUCCUACUAUUACUGGACGCAGUAACAAAGUAGGACGCCAAAUUAACUCUACCUACGGAAGAACGUGGAUAGAGAAAGUCUUAAUGGUAACAGAGUCAAGAUGCGUAUCCCAUCCAAGGCAAGAGUGAACCCCACCUACGGAAAAACGUAGGUUAGACGGGGAACACAUCGGCAAGAGUGAACCUCACCUACGGAAACGUAGUGUUAGACGAGGGACGUACUCAAAAGUGAAUCACACCUACGGAAGAACGUAGGUUAGACGGGGAACACAUCGGCAAGAGUGAACCUCACCUACGGAAACGUAGUGUUAGACGAGGAACGUACUCAANNNNNNNNNNNNNNNNNNNNNNNNNNNNNNNNNNNNNNNNNNNNNNNNNNNNNNNNNNNNNNNNNNNNNNNNNNNNNNNNNNNNNNNNNNNNNNNNNNNNNNNNNNNNNNNNNNNNNNNNNNNNNNNNNNNNNNNNNNNNNNNNNNNNNNNNNNNNNNNNNNNNNNNNNNNNNNNNNNNNNNNNNNNNNNNNNNNNNNNNNNNNNNNNNNNNNNNNNNNNNNNNNNNNNNNNNNNNNNNNNNNNNNNNNNNNNNNNNNNNNNNNNNNNNNNNNNNNNNNNNNNNNNNNNNNNNNNNNNNNNNNNNNNNNNNNNNNNNNNNNNNNNNNNNNNNNNNNNNNNNNNNNNNNNNNNNNNNNNNNNNNNNNNNNNNNNNNNNNNNNNNNNNNNNNNNNNNNNNNNNNNNNNNNNNNNNNNNNNNNNNNNNNNNNNNNNNNNNNNNNNNNNNNNNNNNNNNNNNNNNNNNNNNNNNNNNNNNNNNNNNNNNNNNNNNNNNNNNNNNNNNNNNNNNNNNNNNNNNNNNNNNNGCAGUGCUCAAGGAUAGCGCAGGCAAGGCGUCAAGGUGGGCAAGCAGGGUUCCGCGGGAGAAUCGGGCCGGACAGGUGUGCAAGGAGUAGGCUUCGGCUAGGACAAACUGGACAAUAGUUGGCAAAAGCGCGUGACAAACCUCCGUGGAAGCAUAGAUACAACCUCGCAGGCGUGGAGGGGGGGAGUACUGGUGAGAGAGGAUCUUACAUCCAGGGACAUCACCAGAAAUCCACAUCCCAGCACGCAAAGAGGGGGGGGAAUACUUAUAGUACAGGGUCCGACACGCAGACCAUAGUACUAAAAGACGUAUCCCAAAGUAGCUAAUACGCAGAGGAGGGGGGAGUACUGGUGAUACAGUAUCCCGAACACGGUCACAACCUACCAGCAACUAGAAGUCCGGAUAGCCUAAGAUGAGUUGAGGUAUCUAUUCUAGGGUUGGGGAGGUCCCAGGUCGAAUCCUAGGAAGAUCGACUUUCCUGAGGAUCGACUUCCCUGGGAUCNNNNNNNNNNNNNNNNNNNNNNNNNNNNNNNNNNNNNNNNNNNNNNNNNNNNNNNNNNNNNNNNNNNNNNNNNNNNNNNNNNNNNNNNNNNNNNNNNNNNCAGAAAGUCGAUCUCUGAAAAGUCGACCCCUGGACCCAAUCUGAUCAGUUGGGCAGUUAGGCGGUUACUGCCCAAAUGACCAGAUUACCCCCAUAGGAACCCCUAUAAAUAGAGGGCACCCCCCACUCAUUAAAGGCAGGUCAUUUGGAGCGAAAGGAUUCCUAGCGAAGCAGAGCUCUGCACACUUGAGUUCCGGUCCGGUUUCCCGCGGAGUUCCCCGCUUGGCGCUUGCUUGCGCGUCUUGGAGUACUGGUCGGGUUUCACCCCCAUCAGUUAUUAACUUAAGAUUCUAGAAAUUUUUAUAAAACCAACCUAAGCUUUAUGGUUCAGGUUAUAAACCCCUCAAGUGCUGGUAUUGAAACAAUACUUUUUACAAUACUUGGAACACGAUUUUACCACAGGAUUAUAUGUAUACUGAAAAUUUAUCCCUUGUUCUUGAUUGUAGCCCUAUGCUACCAACCUAGCUUUACAUCUCCCCAUUGGUCCAUCUGAUCUCCUUUUAAUCUUGUAUACCCACUUACUGGUCUCAUUCUCUCUGAUAAUCUGUAAUAUUCCGCUGCGAUCGGAGGGGACGAGAUGAGAGCUGAGAACGUAUUCCGAGGAGGGAGGAAGAGAUCUCACGAGGAGCCAGAGGUAGGAGGAAUUGUUUAACUGAAAUUCGAUGAUCCUAACCAGGAUCUCGAUGGUCUUUAAAUUCAAACUGGAGUAACAGACUGAUCGUGAUCACGAUCUUUGUAACUGACAUGUAAUUACUCUAAUUACGUAAUUAAAACUAAUUACUAAUAAUAUUCAAAGUUACCGUCCCGCUUAACCCGAGCAUACCUUCGAGUUGUAUCUUCACCGGUGACCGUGCUAUCCUCUGAACUGUCACCGGCCGAAUCUUCUUCUAGUGCGAGCUCUUCCUUGAGUCGAGUGAUCACUGUGUUCAAGUCUAAUUCCAUUGUAACAUAAUCUUGUAUAAUCUUGGAACACGAUCUUCUUUCUUCACAAAUACACAUGUAUCAUUCUCUCUGAUUGUGAUCUUCAUCUCCUCCUUCAUUGCCAAUCUCCAACAUUUAUGUUUAUUACCCUAUUUAAAAGAUGUAGACACAAACAGAUCAUUUGUAACAUUUGUAUUAUUACAUAGAAGAUCUUUAUAUUUGGUACAUGCUUGUUGAUAAGAAACGAAAUAUCCUACCAGCGCUCGUGGUAGUGCGAGCGGCUACCUUCUUUUGCCGGAAGAUCUGAUAUCCACGACGAACGCUCUACAUCAAGUCUUUCGGGAGGAAUUAGGCGAUUUGGAGCUUAAAUCGGCGAUUUCUCCGUGAUUCACGCUCUAAAAAGGAUGGAAUUGAUGUCUUUGGAUUGAGCCCGGGUUCCCCUUUUAUAGGACCUCUGGGGGCUUAAUCCACGGCGGAGAUCACACCCGACCGUAGACAAAAACCUAAUGGAAUUCAUGUAUUAGACAAACUAAAAAAAUCGAACACCAAGUCUCUUACAUUGAGGAGAUGGUAUGAACGAAGAGUAGGAGAUGAGGAUUCACGAACGAAAAAAAAAGUGUCGUGCAAGAAUAUAUUCGAGGUACGUAACGACGAGGAUGAAUAUGUGUUUCCGACGAGAACAAAAAGAAAAUGGGUUCCCUUGGUGAGUUGAAAAAAAAAUGAAAAAAAUGAGUACGAAAAAAAAAUGAAGAAAAAGAUGGGUGGAGAUGAGAUUACGUGUGACAUGUAAGGUAAGGUACAAAUUACAUGUAAGGUACUUGACAGGUAAAGUACAAGGUAAGUGUAGAAAAGUCAUAUAUAGGUGUAGAAGAAUCUUUAUUUCAUAGAGAUAUGUGCAAAUAAAACAAUAAAAACUCUUAAAACGAAAAACGGUUGGGAUAAAGAGGUACAACAUCCAACGACUCAGCUAAAGUGAACGCAUGUGAUAAUUCCUGUAGUAUUAUAAUCUAACAUAUAUAAUUCAAUAUCUAGAAUAAUUAGAUUUUCUUAUAUAUGAAUUGUUUUUUUUGCUAAUAAUUUGAAUAAACGACGGAUGUAUAUGAAUUGUUGUUCUCUUUGGUUGGUUGUUAGCAGUACUGGUUGUUAGUCAAGUCUUUGGAAUUCAUACGGCGGGUCUUUGUAUUUUUUGAAGAUAUCUUCAAUUCCGUUGAAAACUUCAGCUGGCAAAGGCCGAGGAGUAUCAAUUAUGACAUCAAUAUUUUCUCUCGCUUGAUCUAUUGAUGUUACGCCAAUUAUUGAACUGGUGACGAACGGUUUGUCACGUGUAAAUCCAAGGGAAAGUUCGACAGGACUCAAACCAUAUUUCUUUCCCAAAUCCACAUAUAAUUUUGUAGCCUCCUGAUGAAUUGGUAAAAAAACAUCCAAUUUAAUAACAAUAAGAUUAGGCAUUUGCAUUGCAUAAAUUGUAAGUGCUUACUUACCCUUGAAAGAGACUUAUUGUACCUUUCCAUAUAACCUGGAAAGAUUUUGAACCUGCCUUUCUUUGAUGCUUCAGUUUCAGGGCCAAGGUAUUUUCCACUUAGAGAACCUCCAGCAAGUGGAGAAUAUGCAAGCAAUCCGAUGUUAUUGUUGUUUGGAUGGCAUAUCUCAACCAGAUCAACUAUAAAUAAAUACACACAAAUUUAAAUACUGAUUCAGAUAUUCACUUCAAAUAUAACAUUAUUUUUACUUCACAAUAUCAUCAGUGAGAUUCUUGAGUAUAAAAAUAAAUAAAAGUCAUGAAGUUGAGUGAAAUGCACCUUCAAAGCGAGAUCGAGCUAUUAAACUAUAGACAUUCUGGAUGCUAACAAUCUUAGGCAACCCUUCCAUCUUUGCAGCUUGAAUAAACUCCAUCACUCCAUAAGAGGUUUCAUUUGAAACACCUAUAUAGCGUACCUAUACGAACAAUGAUAAAUCUGGUUGACGAUGGGUGACAUCUAUUAAAACUAAACCACAUAUUAAAUUGAAUAUAUAGAAAACCACAUUUGAUAUGUGUAAAUUGGACGAGUGUUGUUCUCGCACGGCGCGGUUCGGUGCACUGGCGAGAUCCUACCGCUCGUCUACUUCACCGUGGUUCACGACAGUAGCGAGGUACGGUUCCUCACGUCGUUGGAUUAUGAUUACGAUCCAUCCAGCGAUAGGUGAGGCGAACCACACUUGAAACUGUAAAUAUAUUAUACAAUAUAUAAUAUAUUUACACACUCAGUUUCCUGAACAACACUCCGCACCAGAGUCCUCCGUGAGGUACGUAUGCCAAAUGUCCAUCCUACGGAUGUGAAUUUCAAGUCAUGAGGUUCCGAAUGCAUUUUUAUUGCAUCCCCACGUCAUGGCUCGUAUCCACUUGGCUAUGAGCGGUCUAUGCAUAGCAUGAUGGGCAAUCUAAGCACGGAUCAUUGUAGACACAGUACGAUGACACACUCCUCACCGGCGUGAUACGUGAGGUCCACAUCGCGGACCUUACGACAUCGCGAUUCCACGAAAUCGGAAUCGCGAUUCGCACGCAAUGGAUUCUCAUACUGAAAUCGGCGAUUUCUCUCGGGAGACUUGACGUACGCGCUUUGUGGAUCUCCGAGCCUUCGGCACGCCUCACACCACUGCGAGCACUGGUAAGACAUUCCGUGCUUUAUCAGUUGACACCAUGGUUUCGGAUGCGCGCGCAUAUGCCACCCGGAUCCGGUCCUGAAUUAAAAAAAAAAACAAGCCAAAAAAAAUUUAUUUUAAGACCAAAAUUUUAUUUUAAGGUCAAAAAUUUAUACACUGGUCCAAGAAAAAAGUUAUAUUAUUUUAAAUAUAAGCUCCUCCAGUCCUCCUACUGAAAUCGUCGAUUUCUGAAAAUUAUCUACUGCUAAAAGGUACUGACCACGAAGUUCUGCAAAAAAUUCUUUGACCAUCCAUAUCGCCGAUUUGACUAAGCAAAUCGCCGAUUUCUUGUCAAAUUUUUUUUGUGACUUUAUCAAGUCUUGUUCUUCGCUCUCGUUCAAGGUUUCUUAGCGAAACCUUAGAGUCUUUCUACUCACUAUUUAGUCAAGUCAGAUUCGAUUCUUCCGGCCUCCAUGAUACAUGUUUGGUGAGACAUGCCUGAUUACGUCAGUCAAUCCCAGAAACGUCCUUCAAACAAGGACUAGGGUUCCGUAGCUUUACGCCGGACCCCCGAAAGGCAUCCACAGUGCGGAACAAGUGUCUACGUCAAGUACUCAAGGCAACACCUGGGAAUCGCCGACUGGGACUACCAAGUCGUCGAUUCCAGGGGUGCAUCGCCGACUUCGGACAGGGCACUCGGGUCUGGUAGACUGAGGACCUGACACCAAGGGAGUCGGCGACUCCACCCCCAGAUCGGCGACUCCCAUACCUGAGUCGCCGAUUCCCAGACGUUACUUGGGAGGGCCCACGUCGUUAUGACACCCUUAAUUGGGCACCAUAAAGGAGUGGGCCCCACGCUAAUGAAUGGGGGCACUCCCCAAGACCCUAUAAAAGGGAUCCUAGGAGUGUCCUCCAAUUUAUCUCCACUUGACCAUCUACACUCCACACUAGAGCAACCAAGGAGCCUGAAUCGCCCACUGCCCAAGGAGUCGCCGAUUCUCCUCCUCUUCUGCAGGUAUUUGACGUAGAGCGCGCGUCGUGGACUCCAAAGCCUCCGGCCGUCCUCGCAACCCCGCGAGCCCACUGGUAGCAGAUUCCGUGCUUCAUCAAUGUUAAAAAGAACACUCGAGCUACAUCCUCCGCUGCCGUCCUAGAGACAGCAGGAGGGUUGUCGUCCUCUGGAAGUUUCUUCCUUUUAAAAUAUUCUAUCAAGGGUAACCUCCAGUCCUUUGCUUGAACUGCGACUAGAUUGUAUGAGGGUGUAGAAGCUGAGUCAACCAGUAUCUCUCUUUGUCCCCCCUCAAAAGCGGACACGAGCUUUGUCAGGACGUCGACCGAGAUGUUCUGACUUAUUGGGACUUGUUCUAUCUCUACUUUGUCAAACUGAAGUUUCAUCUUCUCGAGUGUGGAAACAUAUUGUACAAUCUGUGGUUAAUCUUUAACUACGAACUCCCCUGCAGACUGACGUGCUACCAACUGAGAGUCUGUUUUGAUAAUUACCGAACAAGCUUCCAAUCUCUUAACUAUUCUCAUACCCUGGUUUACAACUUCAUAUUCUGCUAUGUUGUUUGUGUGAGAGAACUGUAAUCUGGUCGAAUGCUUAUAUAUCCUUUGAUCGGGAGUGAUUAUCUUGACCCCAACUCCCGCACUGGUGCUGCAGCUUAAUCUAUCGACUUCUACUAUCCAAGGUGUUUCCUCACUCUCUUGGGUCAUGUCGACGAUAACACCUGCAAUAGCAGCUUGUCCCUUGAUGGCACUCACGGUGGUAAUGAACUUGAGUGCGCUACGCGUAAGCUUGAUACCUCUGCCUGGUUUGUCUGUUGUUGGCUUGCGGGCUUCUCUGAGUUUUGCGCCCUCGAAUGACGUAUUGUUAUUAUUGAAUUUUCAAUUGGUUUUAGCCUUUCAUUCAUCCUGGCUAUUGUUUCUUUCAUGCUUACCAGUUCUUCUAAGGGGAUAUGUACUAUAAAGCGGAGACUUUCAGAUGUGGUUGCCGUACCGAUUGGAUUUUGAUUAUUUGGGAUCACCUGUUUAGGGACUUACUGCAAUGCCUGUUGUGGUGGCUGUUGUGCUUGCUGAAGCGGUAUUUGUUGAAUCAUGGCUUGAGUUAUGGCCUGAGCCAUCGCUUGCAGCACGAUAUUCUAGUUAUCUGCCCCUGCAGAUGUUUGCUAUACUUGUUCAAGCUUCGUAUUUUCUUGGUCGUCCUACGGCUCUUCUGGUCGUAGGAUUUUUUGCAGGCUGGGCCUGUUGGGAUUCUCCUUCCGUGUGGGAAUUGCUUCUUGUAGUCACCAUUUCUGCACUUCUUCAAGGUAGUCGAAUUUUGACCUGAAGUAUUCGACUUUUUGAAAAAAGUCAAGUUGUGUCCUGAAAAAAGUCGAGUUGGUACCUAAAAAAGUCGACUAGUAUAAAAAUUCCUGUUGGAACCUGAAAAAAAAGUCGAUUUGUGCAAAAAGUCGAUUCCUGGAAGAGGCUUUGCUUGGGGUUUGAGCACGCUGAAUUUUUGAAAAAAGUCGAACUCUAAGUCUCAAAAAAGUUAAUUUCAAAUGAAAGUUCAACUAGCGAGGCAGUCGACUUAUGAGGAAGUCGAUCUUAUUUUGAAAAAAGUUGAACACUUUUUUUAUGAAAGUCGGCCUUUUUUUUAAGAAAGUCGAGCUCUUGAGAAGUGAUCUCUGAGCAGGGCUACUUGAUUGACGACUUGAAAAAGCAGAGUAUCUUUAAUUUGAAUCACAGUCGACGCCAAAUGAUGAGAGUGGAACUCGAUCAGUGCUCGAUGACGUUUCGAACAAGCGUCAGGCGGGGAACCACGCAGGGAAAUCGGACCAAAUUUCAGUUGCUCAGAACUCUGCUUCGCUAGGAUUCUUCUCACUCCGAAUGACCUACCCAAAUGAAUGAGGUAUCCUCUAUUUAUAGGAUUUUUUAUGGAGGUAAUUUGGUCAUUUGGCUCGUAACCGCCUAGAUUUGGUUUCAAGUCGACAUUCUGAGAUCGACUUUUUUAGAGCUCGAUUUUCCCUAGUUCGACUUCUGACAAAGUCGAACUAUGAAAAAGUCGAAUUGGGAAAGGCCGAAACCUAUAUGGGUACUUCAAUUCAUCUUGGGUUAUCUGAAUCUCUGGUUGAUGGUGUGUAGUGAUCGAGUUCGGGAUACUGUAUCAUCAACUGUUUUAUUUUUCUUUUACUGUUUUGUUAAAAUUGGUAUUUUUAGGGUUUGGUAUUUACUAUUUUUAGGGUUAAAAUUAACUAUUUAAUGUUUAUAAUUAAUAUUUUACUGUCAAAAUUGUUUGAGAUUUAGUUUUUUUUUUGUUUUUUUAUUUGUAUUUACUGUUUUUAAUUUAAGGUUGAAUUGUUUUUAAUUAUUUACUGUUUCUAAUAUUUAUUAUAGGUUGAAAUUGUCUUCACCGCCGUUGAAGUAUUUUCUCCGUCCGAUAUCUCCCCGUCGGUCUUGUGACAUAUUAUGUGUUGUAUGUGCUAAUCGAUAUAUAGGUUUGUGAUUUGUUAUGUGUUAUAUAUGUUGAUAUGUUUUGUAAGAUUUAGAGAUUGGUGAAUUUAGGAUUUGCGGAUCUAUCGAUCAAGGUAAUAUUUUUAUUUAUUUCAAAUUAUAUCAUAUGAUAGUUAUUAAUUAGUUAAUAUAAUUUGCAUGUUUGAAAUUGGAAUUUUCGUAAACACCCAACAUUCGGAUGACGACACAACCGGAUUAAAUGGGCGGGUACAAUAUUUAUUCAUCUGAAGCGUCGACGUCACAAAAACCAGUACUGCAACAAACUCCUCCCCAACCAGUGGAGCAGACUCUACAACGUCGCGAACGACCAAUAAAAUUUUUAAGAAAUAAACUAUCAAAACACGUAUUUAAAAAGAAAAAGAACAACGACGAUGACAAAAUAGAAAUUAAGAUAGUUAGCGAUUAUUUUAAAAAACUUUGUAUUUCGUUUUGUUGCAAAUGAUUUUAAUCAUCAAAUAUUUCAUUUACUUACGAUUUCAAUUUUAAUUUCGAUUUCAUUUCAUACAAUUUCUAAUAAAAAAUAAAUAUUUCAUAAUUAAUUAAUAAAAAUUAAUUUUUUAAAUAAAAAAAUUUCUGGAGGCUAGACCGCCAGUAAUUUUUUCCCAGGGUAAUUUUUUUCUGCCACGAAAUUUAUACUGACGGCCAAGCCUUCAAUCUUAUUUUAUCAAUAAUCGAAAUCAAUAAAUUCUUACUGACGACCUGGUCGUCAGUAUAAUACAUAUUUGGCGACAACACUUCAUGCGCUAUAGCCGGAAUGGAUUAUCCGUUGUUGUGGAUCGAAAGAUCACUCUGUCGCUAUGGCUAGAGUUGAUCAAAUAUCGUAGUUCUAUGGUUAUGGUUAGAACUAGAUUAUGUCGCUAUGUCUGAAAUCAAAUCCAUUUUGUGACUAUGGCCGGAAUGGAUCGAGAAUCAUUCUGUCGUUAUGGCCGGAAUGAUUCAUUUAACCCUGCUUGGGAAGAUACUGACGGUACACGCUGUCACAGAACCUUCUUAAAGGGAGUAUUGCUGACACAUGACUGUACAACAGUCACUCCCGUCAACAGGGAUUGGGGUUUCAUUCGUUAUAUGACGGACCUUCGGAAGGCUUCCACGAGCACGGAAAUAAAACUUCGUCAAAUCGCCGAAUCAACUCUAUGGAUCGUCGAUUUGGUCUGCCAAAUCGUCGAUUUGAGGCCAAGAUCGCCAGAGUCUGACAGACUGUCGAUAUUGUCCCUUUAAACUUGCCGACCCUACCACUAAAUCGCCGAUUCCCCCCAAAUCGUCGAUGUCGGACUGUUACUCGGCGUCAGUCCGCGCCAUUAUGGCCAGACGUGUUCACCGCCGUGGAUUACGCUUAAAGACCUUAUAAAAGGAGGCAUCAGGCUUACUCCAAAGGCAUCAGUUCUACCCUUUCUAAAGUGUAUUACACGAAGCAAAUCACCGAUUUCUCUCAGAAGACUUGACGUAGAGCGCGCGUCGUGGAUCUUCGACACGUCUCACACCACCGCGAGCACUGGUAAGACAUUCCGUGAUUGAUCAUCAUGGUAAAUAGAGACCCAAAUCAUCUAAUGAAAUAAUUUGACAGAAACUAAUCAAGAAAAGCAUUUGCUUGCAGAUUUCACUCACCUUGCCUUCAUCGAUAAGUUUUUGAAAUGCCUGGAGUUGUUCGACAAAAGGCAAGCAAGCAAUGUAUUUGUAAAUCAAUAUUUAUUCGACUAUGAUAGGAUAAAAAUGAAUUGGUGAUUAAUAAAUUAAUAUCCGACUAACGUAUCAAUGUAUUUGUAGUAAAUCAAUAUAGUCAGUAUUGAGACGAUUGAGGCUUUUUUCUACACUUUCCUUUACAUUAGAAGCGUCAACUCGAUGUUUCUUUCCAUGAUCACGGAGAUAGUUCAUACUUUCUGAACAACCAGCAACUUUUGUAGCCAAAAUGACCUAUUAAACAAAUUUCUUAUUCUUGAGUAAAGUGGAGUAAGAUUAUUUCGGGUUUGAAAAUAUUUUGGAAAUCUGAAAAUGUUUUAUACUUUGAUCAUGCGUUUAUUUAUUGUGGAGUUUGAAGAGUUAACAAAAUAGUUGUUAUCAAAAUCAUAAUGGUUGGUUUGAGAUUUCAUAAUUGUAAAAUUUAGCUUUUCACGAGGUUUGGAUUUCAUCCAGUUGCCAACAUAGAUAUGAGUCCUUCCUUGCGUCUCCUUUUACUGAAAAAAGAGGAAAUCCAAAAAAAAAUAAAAUCAAAUAGCCCUUUUUUUGUGUAUGAAAUUUGGGGAUUAUGAUACAAAACCAUUUCAGCAGUAUCGUAUGCAUUGAUUCCUCUUUCGAAUGCGUAGUCGAGGAU
rnacentral:lncRNA from 1 species